CACGUCAGAGCGAUAUGCUGACUCAGCCGGAAAUCGCGUCCUAGAUAAAGCGAUUUCUUGACGAGUCAGCAUAUCGCUCUGACGUGG
rfam:Gossypium hirsutum cultivar TM-1 chromosome 1, whole genome shotgun sequence